rnacentral:rRNA from 1 species
UACGUAGGGACCGAGCGUUGUCCGGAUUCAUUGGGCGUAAAGAGCUCGUAGGCGGUUUGGUAAGUCGGAUGUGAAAUCUCCAGGCUCAACCUGGAGGGGUCAUUCGAUACUGCCAUGACUAGAGGUCGGUAGGGGAGUGUGGAAUUCCUGGUGGAGCGGUGAAAUGCGCAGAUAUCAGGAGGAACACCCGUAGCGAAGGCGGCACUCUGGGCCGAUUCUGACACUGAGGAGCGAAAGCGUGGGGAGCGAACAGG